GACGAACGCUGGCGGCGUGCCUAAUACAUGCAAGUAGAACGCUGAAGGAGGAGCUUGCUUCUCUGGAUGAGUUGCGAACGGGUGAGUAACGCGUAGGUAACCUGCCUGGUAGCGGGGGAUAACUAUUGGAAACGAUAGCUAAUACCGCAUAAUAGUAGAUGUUGCAUGACAUUUGCUUAAAAGGUGCAAUUGCAUCACUACCAGAUGGACCUGCGUUGUAUUAGCUAGUUGGUGGGGUAACGGCUCACCAAGGCGACGAUACAUAGCCGACCUGAGAGGGUGAUCGGCCACACUGGGACUGAGACACGGCCCAGACUCCUACGGGAGGCAGCAGUAGGGAAUCUUCGGCAAUGGACGGAAGUCUGACCGAGCAACGCCGCGUGAGUGAAGAAGGUUUUCGGAUCGUAAAGCUCUGUUGUAAGAGAAGAACGAGUGUGAGAGUGGAAAGUUGACACUGUGACGGUAUCUUACCAGAAAGGGACGGCUAACUACGUG
rnacentral:rRNA from 1 species